rnacentral:tRNA from 2 species
UGUGUCUGUAGCUCAGUUGGAUAGAGCACCGGCCUUCUAAGCCGGGUGUCGGGGGUUCGAAUCCCUUCAGGCACAU